rnacentral:tRNA from 1 species
GAGGGUAUAGCCCAGUGGUAGAGUGCAUGCUUAGCAUGCAUGAGGUCCUGGGUUCAAUCCCCAGUAUCUCCA